CCAGCCUCCAGCAUUUGAAUCCAAAUGACAAUUCACAAAGCCAAGAGUGAUUUCCUGGCAGGGAAGAAAGAAGGUGGCCCUACCAUGGGAGCCAUAAAGCAUGAGAAUCACCUCAAUUAGGGACCACAGCCAGGCCAAGUUCACUCCAUCUUCAUCCCAGAGGAUAAUUUGCCUCAUGCCAGCAUGAAGGACACCAUAGCAUCAAGGAUGAACUUACUCUGAAUGACAAAUAAUUAAAACUUCCUGGCUAGAACAAGUCAACCACUGAAUGGGAAAAUUGUAUAUUUUUGUUGUUGUUGUUUGCUUGUUUUGUUUUGUUUGGAUAUGGACAAUAGAAUGGAUCAGUAGGAUCAUUGCUAUCCUGUACAAAUGGGAGGAAAGAAGGUCUUGG
rnacentral:lncRNA from 10 species